UGGUCUCAAACACCUGGGCUCAAGUGAUCCACCUUCCUUGGCCUCCCAAGGUGCUGGGAUGACAUGCGGGAGCCACCCUCCCAGCCCCCACAGGGCAGACUGCUGCAGGUGCUGCAUUGUCCUCUACAAAGAAGGGAGGCCCUGCUCUGCGGCAACUGCUCCUGAGGUUGGCAUCUUUUAAAAAGCAGAUGCAGCCUGCAUUCUGAGGCAGUCCUUCUAAAAGCCCACCAAAUGAAUAAGGAGGUUUCUCACCUUUUCUCCUGUUGCAGAAAGCAUGUGAGCACCACUCAAGCGCUCUGCUGGUAAGGCUGGCAUAGAGGCUACUACUCUGUGUUUGCACAUGCCACUGCAGUGGGCUGAAUGGGGGUCUGCAAACCGAUCUGUCCAUGUGCUGACUCCACAAACCUGUGCGUGAGACCUUAUUAGUUAGGUACCCUGAGAUGGGAUCAUCCUGGUUUAGAGAGGGCCCUAGAUGCAAUGACCAGUGUCCUUCUGAGAGACAGAGGAGGAGACACAGACACAGGGGAGAAGGCCACGUGGGGACGGAGGCACAAACUGGAGUGAUGUGGCCACAAAGCCAGAGAUGCCUGGAGCCCCCAGGAGCUGGGAGAGUCAGGAAGGGUCCUCCCCUACAGCCUCUCAGGGAGCUCUGUUGGUGUCUUAAUCUCCUCUUUUAGUAAUCCAUAUCAGAUUAGGGCUCACCCUAAGGACCUCAGUUUAACUUAAUUACCUCUUCAAAGACCCCAUCUCUGAAUACGGUCACACCCUGAAGUACUGGUGGUUAGGGCUUCAACCUACAAAUUUGGAGGAGGCCAGAAUUCAGCCCACAACAGACGUUGUUUGCAAAUGUAAUCAACAGAAGAUGAGAUCUUUACAGUGGGCAGGCCUUGCUGCAAUGGCCGGUGUCCUUAUAGGAUGAGGAGAUUAGGACACAGACACAGAGGAGAAGGCCCCGUGGAGAUGGAGGCAGAGACUGUAGUGAUGCGGCCACAAGCUCAGGGACACCUGGAGCCCCCAGGAGCUGGGAAAGUCCGGAAGGAUCCUCCCAUAGGGCCCCCCGAGGGAGCCCGGCCCUGCCCACACCUGGAUUUAAGAUUUCUGGUCUCCAGACCUGGGAGAACAAAUUUCUGUUGUUUUAAGCUACCCAUUUUGUGGUAGUAAUACAUUCACCCCCUCACCGCAGUUCUGCAGCGUUUAAAAGGGCCUUUUUACCUGUUGGUAGUUUUUUGUUGAGUUCUGAGGCCCUAAGGAGUUUCCUAAUUUCUCCAGGCAGAUUUUAAAUGCACUAUUCCUUCAAACUCACAUCACAUCAUCACCAAUAGCAACAACCAACUGUACCUCAGUGUAUUGUUCCCAUAGCAACCGAGAUCCCCAAUGCCUAGAUCAUCCGCCAUGAUCAGUAGGAUAUUUGGUUUAAAGGCAUUUGCAGUUUUAGGUUCACACGUCUUCAGAAGCAAGCAUAAAAACAGUAGCACCGGCAAAGAUUCCCUGGAGAGAAAAGCAAAACACAGAAAUGACUAUCUACAAUUUGGCACAGGAAGUAGGCAUUUCAAGGCGGCUUGCUGGGAAGGUGAAGGUCUUCCGACCUUCUUAACUAAAUUAAGACAUUCAUCUUUAUGGGAGGUUAUUAUCUUGGCCUGAAUUCCUGCACUUGUGUCCCCAGACCAAACGAGGGUCAGACUGCUAUUUCCUGUGACUCAAUAGCGAGAUGCAGAUGUCUGAUACCCUAACUUGUAUUAACUUUAUUGACUCUCUCUUAGCUGAAAAAGCUGGAUGGAUUCCAUUUGGCUCCUUCAUUUGCAAGACAUUAAGGGCUCGUUACCCACCCCCUUCCUCAAGGACUUAACUUGUGCAAGCUGACACUUAGCACAUCAAAGAGUGCAAUUAACUGAUAAGCCCCAGGUCUUGACCUCACUGAUGGAGUCCAUGCUCUGGACCCAUUGGCCCACCUGGGAUGACUGUCAGCAGCUCCUUUUGACCCUUUUCAACGCUGAAGAGAAGGAACAGAUCCAAAGAGAGGCCAGUGUUUAAAUCCAGCUGCUUUCCUCCCUGAUCCAAACUUCACUACACCUGUCCGUGACUGCCAGGAACUGUUAGAAACUACAGAAACUGGCUGAACUGAUCUCCAAGAUAUGCCCCUAUAAACAUAUACCAUGUUUAUAGAUGGUAGCAGCUUCCUCGAACAGGGAGUACAAAAGAUUGGUGCAGCCUUUACUACGGAGACAGAUGUGCUGUGGUCCCAGGUGUUGCCAGCAGGUACCUCGGCACAGAAGGCUGAAUUGAUCGCCCUCACUCAGGCUGUCUGAUGGGUUAAGGACAAAUGUAUUAAUAUUUAUACUGACAGCAGGUAUGCUUUUGCUACUGUACAUGUACAUGGAGCCGUCUAUCAAGAAUGCGGGCUACUUACUUCAGCAGGAAAGAUUGUCAAAAACAAAGAAGAAAUUUUAGCCCUGCUUGAAGCAGGUGGCUGUAAUUCACUGCAAAGGACAUCAAAAGGAAGACUUGGCCAUUGCCCAUGGGAACCAAAGAGCAGAUUCUGUAACUCGAAAGGCAGCAUGGCUCCCUGUCAUGCCUUUAACCCUGCUGUCCGCUGUGUCCUUUCCGCAACCUAACUUGGCAGCCCCAGAAAAAAAAAGAAACAAGCUUCAGAUCUUCAGGCCAAUUAAAAUCAGGAAGGUUGGUGGAUUCUUCCUGAUUCCAGAAUCUUCAUACCCCGAGCUCUCAAGGAAACUUUAAUCAGUCGUCUUCAUUCUACCACCCAUUUAAGAGGAGUAAAACUGGCCCAGCUCCUAAGGAGCCAUUUCAAGAUCCCUUCGCCUUCAGAACUCUGCAAACCAAGCAGCUCUCUGGUGUAUGGCUUGUGCUCAAGUAAAUGCCAAGCAAGGUCCUAAACCCAUCUCAGGGCACUGCCUCCGGGGAAACUCGCCAGGAAAAAGGUAGGAAAUUGACUUUACAGAAAUAAAACCACACUGGACUAAGUAGAAAUACCUUUUGGUACUAGCAGAUACAUUUUCUGGAUGGACUGAGGCAUUUGCCCCCAAAAACGAGACUGCCACCACAGUAGCUAGGUUUUUACUCGAUGAAAUCAUCCUUUGACAUAGGCUGCCUGCUGCCAUAAGGUCUGAUAAUAGACCAGCCUUCACCUUGUCCAUACCUCAGUCAGUCAGUAAGAACUCAGAGCUCUGCACAGGUAGAAUGCAUAAACCACACCCUAAAAAUACUUUUACAAAGUUAAUCUUAAAGACUGGUGAAGAUUAGGUAAGGCUCCUUCUUUAGUCCUUCUUAAAGUAAGAUGAACUUCCUACCAGGCUAGGUUUUCACCUUUUAAAAUCAUAUAUAAGAGGGUUCCGCCGAUCUUGCCUAAGCUAAAAGAUACCCAUUUAGCAGAAAUCUCACAAGCUAAUUUAUUACAUUAC